rnacentral:rRNA from 1 species
UAGGGAAUCUUCGGCAAUGGACGAAAGUCUGACCGAGCAACGCCGCGUGAGUGAAGAAGGUUUUCGGAUCGUAAAACUCUGUUGGUAGAGAAGAACAAGGACGUUAGUAACUGAACGUCCCCUGACGGUAUCUAACCAGAAAGCCACGGCUAACUACGUGCCAGCAGCCGCGGUAAUACGUAGGUGGCAAGCGUUGUACGGAUUUAUUGGGCGUAAAGCGUGCGCAGGCGGUUUCUUAAGUCUAAUGUGAAAGCCCCCGGCUCAACCGGGGAGGGUCAUUGGAAACUGGGAGGCUUGAUUGCAGAAGAGGAGAGUGGAAUUCCAUGUGUAGCCGGGAAAUGCGUAGAUAUAUGGAGGAACACCAGUGGCGAAGGCGGCUCUCUGGUCUGUAACUGACGCUGAGGCUCGAAAGCGUGGGGAGCAAACAGG